UACGUAGGAGGCAAGCGUUGUCCGGAAUUACUGGGUGUAAAGCGCGUGUAGGUGGGAGGCCAAGUCUGUGGUGAAAGCGCCCGGCUCAACUGGGCAGAGUCCAUGGAAACUGGUCACCUGGAGGACGGUAGAGGCGAGUGGAAUUCCCGGUGUAGUGGUGAAAUGCGUAGAGAUCGGGAGGAACACCAGUGGCGAAGGCGGUUCUCUGGGCAUGUCCUGACGCUGAGGAGCGAAAGUGUGGGGAGCGAACAGG
rnacentral:rRNA from 1 species